rnacentral:rRNA from 1 species
GACGAACGCUGGCGGCGUGCCUAACACAUGCAAGUCGAACGGAGAAGUUCAGCAAUGGAUUUCUUAGUGGCGAACGGGUGAGUAACGCGUAGACAACCUGCCUCUAAGCUGGGGACAACAACUCGAAAGGGUUGCUAAUACCGAAUGUGAACAGUGUCUCGCAUGAGAUGCUGUUUGAAGGUGGCCUCUGAACAUGCUACCGCUUAGAGAUGGGUCUGCGUCUGAUUAGCUAGUUGGAGGGGUAACGGCCCACCAAGGCGACGAUCAGUAGCCGGUCUGAGAGGAUGAACGGCCACACGGGGACUGAGACACGGCCCAGACUCCUACGGGAGGCAGCAGUGGGGAAUCUUCCGCAAUGGACGAAAGUCUGACGGAGCAACGCCGCGUGAGUGAAGAAGGCCCUCGGGUCGUAAAGCUCUGUCUUCAGGGACGAAUGUGCAGAUUGUGAAUAAUGGUUUGUAAUGACGGUACCUGAGGAGGAAGCCACGGCUAACUACGUGCCAGCCGCCGCCGUAAUAC